CCUACGGGACGCAGCAGUGAGGAAUAUUGGUCAAUGGCCGGAAGGCUGAACCAGCCAAGCCGCGUGAAGGACGAAGGUGCCAAGCAUUGUAAACUUCUUUUGUCAAGGGACAAAAUCAGGCUCGAGAGCCUGACCGAGGGUACUUGAAGAAAAAGCAUCGGCUAACUCCGUGCCAGCAGCCGCGGUAAUACGGAGGAUGCGAGCGUUAUCCGGAUUUAUUGGGUUUAAAGGGUGCGCAGGCGGCGUGUCAAGCAAGCGGUAAAAUAGCGGGGCUCAACCCCGUCGAGCCGUUUGAACUGGCGCGC
rnacentral:rRNA from 1 species